rnacentral:rRNA from 1 species
CGGGUAGGCGGUCUGAGAAGUUGAUUGUGAAAUCUCCCGGCUAAACUGGGAGGGAGCAAACGAAACUAGCAGGCUAGAGGACAGCAGAGGGUCGUGGAAUUCCGGGUGGAGUGGUGAAAUGCGUAGAGAUCCGGAGGAACACCAGAGGCGAAAGCGGCGACCUGGGCUGUAGCUGACGCUGAACCGCGAAAGCCAGGGGAGCGAAC